UACGUAGGGGGCAAGCGUUGUUCGGAAUUACUGGGCGUAAAGCGCGCGUAGGCGGUCUGAAAAGUCAGAUGUGAAAGCCCCGGGCUCAACUUGGGAACUGCAUUUGAUACUGUCAGACUAGAGUACAGAAGAGGUGACUGGAAUUCCCAGUGUAGCGGUGAAAUGCGUAGAUAUUGGGAGGAACACCAGAUGCGAAGGCGGGUCACUGGGCUGAUACUGACGCUGAAGUGCGAAAGCCAGGGGAGGCGAACGGG
rnacentral:rRNA from 1 species